rnacentral:rRNA from 2 species
UGGGGAAUAUUGGACAAUGGGCGCAAGCCUGAUCCAGCCAUGCCGCGUGUGUGAAGAAGGCCUUUGGGUUGUAAAGCACUUUAAGCGAGGAGGAGGCUACUUGGAUUAAUACUCUAGGAUAGUGGACGUUACUCGCAGAAUAAGCACCGGCUAACUCUGUGCCAGCAGCCGCGGUAAUACAGAGGGUGCGAGCGUUAAUCGGAUUUACUGGGCGUAAAGCGUGCGUAGGCGGCUUCUUAAGUCGGAUGUGAAAUCCCUGAGCUUAACUUAGGAAUUGCAUUCGAUACUGGGAAGCUAGAGUAUGGGAGAGGAUGGUAGAAUUCCAGGUGUAGCGGUGAAAUGCGUAGAGAUCUGGAGGAAUACCGAUGGCGAAGGCAGCCAUCUGGCCUAAUACUGACGCUGAGGUACGAAAGCAUGGGGAGCAAACAGG